rnacentral:rRNA from 1 species
AUUCCAGCUCCAAUAGCGUAUAUUAAAGUUGUUGCAGUUAAAAAGCUCGUAGUUGGAUUUCUGGUUUGAUGCCCUGGCCCGCUUCAAAUUUUGGAGUGUGUGCCGGCUGUGCGUCUGCCAUCCUUCUAGAAAACGUUCGUACCCUUCACUGGGCCGCGUUCGAGAUCUAGAUCUUUUACUUUGAAAAAAUUAGAGUGUUUAAAGCAGGCAGUUGCUAUGAAUACAUUAGCAUGGAAUAAUAAUCUAGGACUUCGGUUCUAUUUUGUUGGUUUCUAGUACUGAAGUAAUGAUUGAUAGGGAUAGUUGGGGGUGCUAGUAUUGAGCGGCCAGAGGUGAAAUUCUUGGAUUCGCUCAAGACUAACUUAUGCGAAAGCAUUCACCAAGGAUGUCUUCAUCG